rnacentral:lncRNA from 1 species
CAGGUGGCCGCGCGUGCGCAGUGCGGGCGGUGGAGGCGAGGCUGUGGGCGCGUGGGGUGCGUGCGGUACCUGAGGGCCCCGCCCCCGCUUCGCCGAUCUCACACGCUCGGAAAUGAGCUGGACCCCUUCCUGCAGAUGAGAAAGGCUCCUAGAGAUAUUUGACUGUCCACUGAUGUUCUGGAAAGCUUUAGCACGUGGGAGCUGCCAUGGCAGCUCAGAUCUGUCCCCAGAACAUUCCUGCUUCCUUCACUGUAUGGUUUUGUCAGCACGUAGCUGCUGAUAUAGUUUGAGCUCUUCACAAAUCGCUUGCUCUUUCGUUCCAUCAGAAGAGAGCUGGAUGCAACUCUGCCAUCCUUGCUGUUGCACAAGUCUGUGAGUUCUUGUUGUGUGUAAGUGGGUAUUGCAUUUGGUGUUUUUUAGGAAAAAAAAAAAAUAAAUAAAGGUGUCUUGGAAUUGGGGAACAUACAGACUUCAGUAUUGUAAUUACAUGGAGG